UAAUCCGAACUGAGACGGCUUUUCGAGAUUGGCUUGGCAUCGCUGCCUCGCUCCCCUCUGUCACCGCCAUUGUAGCACGUGUGUAGCCCAGCCCAUAAGGGCCUAUGAGGACUUGACGUCAUCCCCGCCUUCCUCCGGCUUGUCACCGGCAGUUUCUCCAGAGUGCCCGGCCGAACCGAUGGCAACUGAAGAUGGGGGUUGCGCUCGUUGCGGGACUUAACCCAACAUCUCACGACACGAGCUGACGACAGCCAUGCAGCACCUGUGUUCCGCCAGCCGAACUGAAGGAUGGGGUCUCCCCCACCCAUAGGGGACAUGUCAAGGGCUA
rnacentral:rRNA from 1 species